rnacentral:rRNA from 1 species
UACGAAGGGGGCUAGCGUUGCUCGGAAUGACUGGGCGUAAAGGGCGCGUAGGCGGUUCGUACAGUCAGACGUGAAAUUCCCGGGCUCAACCUGGGGGCUGCGUUUGAUACGUACGGGCUUGAGUUCGGAAGAGGGUCGUGGAAUUCCUGGUGUAGCGGUGAAAUGCGCAGAUAUCGGGAAGAACACCCGUGGCGAAGGCGGCUCUCUGGGACGGUACUGACGCUGAGACGCGAAAGCGUGGGGAGCGAACAGG